AAUGAACGCUGGCGGCGUGCCUAACACAUGCAAGUCGAGCGAGCCGACGGGUGCAUGGCAGACGGGUGGGUAGCGCGGGAGGGGUCUGCAAUAUGGGGGUGACUAACGCUUAGGAAGGAGAGAAAAUAGCGAAAGAGGCGGUAAGCUGGGAUGAUCACUUGAAAACCUGGGGACCGUAAGGCCUGGGGCAAAAACAGUAACCUGCGCCUGAUUAGCUAGUUGGCGGGGUAAUGGCCAACCAAGGCGACGAUCAGUAGCCGGCCUGAGAGGGUGAUCGGCCACACUGGAACUGAGACACGGUCCAGACUCCUACGGGAGGCAGCAGUGGGGAAUCUUGCGCAAUGGGCGAAAGUCUGACGCAGCAACGCCGCGUGGGUGAUGAAGGUCUUCGGACUGUAAAACCCUGUUGUCAGGGACGAAGGUGUCAGUGUUAAUCGAGCCGUUUCUUGACGGUACCUGGAGAGAAAGCCCCGGCUAACUCCGUG
rnacentral:rRNA from 1 species